UUUAACUUAAAAAAUGACACGAAAAAGGUACAACAUUGGAAUUGGCUGCUUUCUAUGGAGUUAAGCAUCCAGCAUCUAUCAUAGAGUGAAUAGUGAACGAGGGAACAAGGAAGUGAUUCUGGACACAGUCCUGGCUUUAUAUACCUCGGCAGCAGGACGCAUCAAAGGCCAACUUGUGAAAUGAAACUAGAGCAUCUUUUACUGCAUUUUGUUUUGUUCAGAUCAGAAGCCGGACAAAAGGAUACCAUGCUUUAUGGUCCUUUUGACUCUAAUAUCAUUUAUUAUGGAACAUUUUGCUGUGUUGAAGAAGGCCGGAAAAUAGAAUAAAGCCCUGUUGAUUGACUUCCACUAACUGUUACUUAGUUGAACCAGUUAAACCAUAACGUUAAACGUUAUUGAUGGAUGUUGAAUGCAGGAUUUCUUGAGAUUCAUGACUUUUGAUUCACAUAGUUCUGAAGUACGUGAAUUCAACAUCUCCUUUGUUCGGUGCAGUACUUAACAAAGGAGAUGUUUGAACCUGAGAGCCAACCUAUUAUAUACCCAUUAUAUACCCAUACCUUUCCUGCUGUCAAAACCUUGUGUCUUUGUUCCCUGUCAAUUGCAGAACUAUGGAUCAUCUUUCAUCUUUCCAUUAAAGUGGCAAUCAUAAUAGGGGCUUUAGCAGCUGCCUGACUUUUCUAAAUACCACUGGUGUCAGUAAUGCACAGCAUUUCCAUUUUUUAUAUCCUGUUCAAUCAACAAAAAAGAUAAAAAUAUAUGAUGGGAUUCUUUGAAGCAUCAUCAAUGUAAUCAUCUGACUCAGUACCAUUCUGCAUCCUAAACUACUAAAUCUUUUGCCUUGUUUCAUCUAGCCCCACUAGAUCUUAUUGAGCCACGGCCAACAUGUGGAAGAAUAUCUGUUGAGCAAAGUUAAAGACAACGUAAAAGAGGACAAGUCAUUCAAGGUGGGUUUAGAUUCAAACAAUGAAGAUUGUGUGCUUAUUGUCUCCAGAUAAAGAAAUACGAUUUUCAGUUACCCUCGAGAGCACAAGUAGGUUUCGGCGUGAGUCACUGCUGACUGGGUUCACCAAAGAUACUUAUCCCUUUUCCUUAUCCUUAGUUAUCCGUUUUACAUUAGAUGAUGUUUUUCUUUCACUUUACUUAAAGCAAACAAUGAACACUUACAGUGUCUUAUGAUUAGAUUAAAAUGCAUACAAAUGCAUUAUGUAUUAUUAUGAAAAAAGAGGUAUUACAACUUUCGCAUUGUUGCAGAAAAAUAAAUAAAGCCAUAAAGUAUUUUUUAAUGUUUUUUUUAUUUAUUAGUGUAGCAACUACACUAAUAACAAUAAUACAUAUAUUUAUAACGAACUCUUCACCAACAGAUCUCAGAGUGCGACAGAUGGCCAUGCACUACACUGUAUUACUGCAAUAAUAAAAAGCACUAUAAAGAAUGGCAAUACCCAGUCAUGUGAUCAUGGUCAUGAUCACCACCGCCCUUCUGCUGACAAAUAUUAUUUUGGAAACAAGGUGCUUCUCAGGUCCCGUCUUACAGGUAGGUCCACUGC
ensembl:lncRNA